rnacentral:rRNA from 1 species
AAAUUGAAGAGUUUGAUCAUGGCUCAGAUUGAACGCUGGCGGCAGGCCUAACACAUGCAAGUCGAACGGUAACAGGAAGCAGCUUGCUUCUUUGCUGACGAGUGGCGGACGGGUGAGUAAUGUCUGGGAAACUGCCUGAUGGAGGGGGAUAACUACUGGAAACGGUAGCUAAUACCGCAUAACGUCGCAAGACCAAAGAGGGGGACCUUCGGGCCUCUUGCCAUCGGAUGUGCCCAGAUGGGAUUAGCUUGUUGGUGGGGUAACGGCUCACCAAGGCGACGAUCCCUAGCUGGUCUGAGAGGAUGACCAGCCACACUGGAACUGAGACACGGUCCAGACUCCUACGGGAGGCAGCAGUGGGGAAUAUUGCACAAUGGGCGCAAGCCUGAUGCAGCCAUGC